rnacentral:rRNA from 1 species
CCUACGGGGGGCUGCAGUGGGGAAUAUUGGACAAUGGGGGCAACCCUGAUCCAGCCAUGCCGCGUGUGUGAAGAAGGCCCUCGGGUUGUAAAGCACUUUCAGUGAGGAAGAACGCCUGGUGGUUAAUACCCAUCAGGAAAGACAUCACUCACAGAAGAAGCACCGGCUAACUCCGUGCCAGCAGCCGCGGUAAUACGGAGGGUGCGAGCGUUAAUCGGAAUUACUGGGCGUAAAGCGCGCGUAGGUGGCUUGAUAAGCCGGUUGUGAAAGCCCCGGGCUCAACCUGGGAACGGCAUCCGGAACUGUCAAGCUAGAGUGCAGGAGAGGAAGGUAGAAUUCCCGGUGUAGCGGUGAAAUGAGUAGAGAUCGGGAGGAAUACCAGUGGCGAAGGCGGCCUUCUGGACUGACACUGACACUGAGGUGCGAAAGCGUGGGUAGCAAACAGGAUUAGAUACCCGAGUAGUC